AAACAUGUUCAACAGGUUGGACUGUUGUGUGAAAACCCUUCCAGCGCUGAUGUAUUCCAGCACGUAGACACUGUGAUCAGACUCUGUUCCGAGGUGGGUGGGGUGUAGCAGGUAUAGAGCUGCUGCCUGCCUCCACUUUUAUAUUGUUAGGAGAAAGGCUUCCUCGCGUCCUGAGGUGGUCCGCGGACGGUGGGUGUGCGCAGCAUCAGUGCGCCGCUCGCUCGGCACAGACGCACCGCAGACUCUGCGCUCCAUCACACGGGCGUCUGCACACCAUGGGAGGCUGCUCCGACCAAACCAAACGCAACCAGAAGAACCAGCACCGAGCGGUCUGCAGGACCAACUGUCC